rnacentral:rRNA from 1 species
CCGAGAAGUGUAACUUGUACGCGAGUCAAAGGGUGGAAAACCCCAUGGCGAAAUGAAAGUAAAGGUCGGUUAACCGGCUGACAUGGGAUCCGCUUUUCGAAGCGGCGCACCAUGGCCCUGUCUUGUCUGCAUGCAGAUGGGCAGCGGUAGAGCGUACAGGUUGCGACCCGAAAGAUGGUGAACUAUGCCUGAGCAGGACGAAGUCAGAGGAAACUCUGAUGGAAGUCCGUAUCGGUUCUGACGUGCAAAUCGAUCGAUAGACUUGGGUA